rnacentral:rRNA from 1 species
UUAACCCAAAGGACUUGGCGGUGCACUAAUCCCCCCAGGGGAACCUGGCCCUUAAUUCGAUGAUCCACGAACCUCUUACCUUUUCUAGUUUUGCUUAUCUUUGCAAGAAGUAAACAAAGAUCAGCUCGCAUACCGCCGUUUCGUAGCUUGUAUCGUGAGAGGACAUAAACAGGCGCCCUAGUGGCCCGUAUAAAAAUAAAUAAGGGUUUCUCUAAUAAUUCAGGUAAACGUGUGGCCUAUGGAAAGGGGGUGCUGGGUUACAAUUGGGGUUUAUAAUGGCGUGGCUGCCUUAAGGGCAAGACAAAAGAGGACUUGGAAGUAAUAGCCUUGGACAAUGAGGCUGUGAAUACUGCUCUAGUGUGUGUACAAAUCGCCCGUCACUCUCUGAA